rnacentral:lncRNA from 1 species
GAGAUCCUGCAUACCUUUUACUCAAGUUCGACCAGUGGUAACAUUUUGCAAAACUAUAAAUUCAGUAUCAUAGCCACGAUAUUGAUAUUUAUAAGCAAGAUACAUAACAUUUCUGUCACCACAGGGAUCGCUCAUGUGGCCCUUUUGCAGCCACACCUACUUCUCUCUCACCUGCAGCUCCUCCUUAACCCCUGGAAACACUAAUCUGUUCUCCAUUUCUCUAACUUUAUCAUUUCAAGAAUGUUAUAUAAAUGGUAUACAGAGAUACCAUUAGGUAAAUAUAUACUCAUCAUAAUUCUCUGAAGAUUCAUUCAGGUUGUUGUGUAAAUCAUUUGUCUGUUGCUUUUUAGUGCUGAGUAUGAUUCCAUUUAACUGUUAACUCACUGCAGGACACCAGGUUGUUCCAGUUUGGGGCUACUGUGAAUAAAGCUGUUAUACACAUUAACAUGUGAGUUUUUGUGUGAACACAGAUUUUCAUUUAUCUCAUAUUAAUGUCCAGGAGAAAAAAAUGUGGGUCAUACUGUAGUUGCAUGUUUAAUUUUUAAAGAAAUUAUGACUUUUCAGGGCAGUUGUGCCAUUUUACAUUCCCAGAAGCAAUGCAUCAGUAACUCAGUUUCUCUGUGUCCUUGCUCGCAUUUCACCAGCAUCUGCUUCUAGUGAGAGCCUCAGGGAGUUUUCCAUUAUGGCAAAAGAGGAAAGAAAGCAGGCAUGUCACAUGGUGAGAAAGGGAGCGAAAAGAAGAGAGGAGGAAU